GACGAACGCUGGCGGCGUGCUUAACACAUGCAAGUCGAACGGUGAAGGGACCAGCUUGCUGGUUCUGGAUGAGUGGCGAACGGGUGAGUAACACGUGAGUAACCUGCCCCCUUCUUCUGGAUAACCGCAUGAAAGUGUGGCUAAUACGGGAUAUUCUGGGUCUGUCGCAUGGCGGGCCCGGGAAAGAUAUUGCUUCGGUGGGGGAUGGGCUCGCGGCCUAUCAGCUUGUUGGUGGGGUGAUGGCCUACCAAGGCGGUGACGGGUAGCCGGCCUGAGAGGGUGGACGGUCACACUGGGACUGAGACACGGCCCAGACUCCUACGGGAGGCAGCAGUGGGGAGUAUUGCACAAUGGGCGCAAGCCUGAUGCAGCGACGCCGCGUGAGGGAUGGAGGCCUUCGGGUUGUAAACCUCUUUCGCCAGUGAAGCAGGCCUGCUCCUUGUGGGUGGGUUGACGGUAGCUGGAGAAGAAGCGCCGGCUAACUACGUG
rnacentral:rRNA from 1 species